AUUGAACGCUGGCGGCAGGCCUAACACAUGCAAGUCGAGCGAGCGGCGGACGGGUGAGUAAUGUAUGGGGAUCUGCCCGAUAGAGGGGGAUAACUACUGGAAACGGUAGCUAAUACCGCAUACUAUCCGAUGAACCCAUAUGGGAUUAGCUAGUAGGUGGGGUAAAGGCUCACCUAGGCGACGAUCUCUAGCUGGUCUGAGAGGAUGAUCAGCCACACGGUAGCUGAGACACGGCCCAGACGCCUCCGGGAGGCAGCAGUGGGGAAUAUUGCACAAUGGGCGCAAGCCUGAUGCAGCCAUGCCGCGUGUAUGAAGAAGGCAUUAGGGUUGUAAAGUACUUUCAGCGGGGAGGCGUUACCCGCAGAAGAAGCACCGGCUAACUCCGUGCCAGCAGCCGCGGUAAUUC
rnacentral:rRNA from 1 species